CUUUAUAAGACUCACUUUUCCAGGAGUCUUUUGUCACCUUAAUGGUGGCUUUGCUUCUGAUCCAUCCCCUACCAGGUGGCUGCUCACUGAGUCAAACAUUUUAUGAGCACCUGCAGUGUCGCAAGGAGCUGUGCUGGGCCCUAGGAGUGCAAAGAUGGUAAAGCCCGAAGCAAAGAACUGCCUUAGGAGUGAUGCCAGGUGUGCAGGGCCAUUGAGCUCUGCUUAUUCCCAGCCCUUCUGCAGCCCUCUGAGUCCUGAGAACCAGCUGGUUCCGCAAAGGAAGCCUUUGGAUUGUUAGAAGCUGAAGAAGCAACAUCAGCGGCCCCCACUUCUGGGGCGGGGGCUCCUGGAUCACCAAGCAACAGCGCUUUCUGGAACUGUUGGCAGUCGUGGGCCCCACCCUUCUGCAUGAUUUCUCCACUGUGGCUUCUAUUCCCACGGCUCUGCAAAAAGUGCUCCCUCCACGAUAGCCGGUAAUCUCCACAGCGUCCACCCCGCGGAGUAUUUCUGGGUCCUUGUCUUCCUGGAAUGUUCCUUGGAGGACCAUCUGAGAAUCAUUCUAUUGCACAUGAAAGAAAAACCCACUCAAAUUGUGGCAGACAAAACUAUUGCACAGUGCCUCCCAGUGAUGCUGGCCCGUCGGGUGCUGCCAGGCCCCCAGCGUCUCCCCGCACACGUCCAGGUCUGCCUUUCCACAGAAAGUUGGGAAAUAGAAAUUCUGACUUUUUCAGCUGCAUUACAAAGCAUAAACAUGAAGGUAUGAGGACAACCUUCGCAGAGUGCCAGGGUGGCUUGUGCUUACAGCC
ensembl:lncRNA